UCGAAGCUCCAGAGCCCUCCCAUGGCGUUCGCCUGCUGCGUACACUGCGGCGGCGGCGGCAGCGGGGCCGGCGGGAGCUCCUCCUCCUUCUCAUCCUCGUCGAGGACGACGACUCCGCCUUCCAUGUACGGUAUCUGGAAGAAGCUCAUCACGCUCUCGUACUCCCUGAGCUCCUCGCAGAGCCUCUCCACCUCCCCUCCCCCUCCAUUAACAUCAUUAUUAUUAGGGUUGGUAGUAGUAGCAGUAUUAGUACUACUACUACUGCAACAGGGGAUCGAAGAAUGAUCCUGAGGAGGAGGAGGAGGAGGAGGAGGAGGAGGGGGUUGGUGGUGGUGGUGGUGGUGUUGAUCUUCUUGUUGUUGUUGUUGUUGUUGGUUAGUAAAAAGAAUGGUGGGGAAGUUGAGCUUGGCCUUUUUGCCGCGGAUGCGGCGGGCGGCGCGGUCGUAGGCGCGGGCGGCGUCCUCCGGGGUGGCGAAGGUGCCGAGCCAGACGCGCACGCCCUUCCCCGGGUCCCGGAUCUCCGCCGCCCACUUCCCCCACGGCCGCCGCCUUAUCCCCCGGUACUGCGUCUUCCGCUCCCUCUCCCUCUCCCUCUCCCUCUUCUUCCGCCCCCCUGCGUCCGUGCAUUUUAUAUUAUAUUAUCAUAUAUAAUAAUAAAUAAAUAAAUAAAGGGCGAACUUCAAAUAUCACUCCCGUCGUACCGUAUUUUUUUAUUUUAUUAUUCUGUCGUUUAAAAUAUACUAAUUUAAUAUUCUCAAUUAAACAUUGAAGUUUCUCAUGUGCCGCAAAAGAAAUUUCUACAUGAAUAUCACUUUAUGUACUCAAACUUGCAUCUAUGAAGUUUUAUUUNUACAAAUUUUUUUUUUUCGAUAUUUUAUCUAGAUUUAUUGAAUAUCCACUUUAAUACUCUUUAGUUUUAACUUUAUCGCUGAUUUAAUAAAAAAAUUAGUAAAAUAGAUAAUAAAAAAUAAAAAAUAAAAUUACUGGGUGUUAAACCACAUAGUACUAAAAUAAAAAAAUAUGAAACCACAGAAAAUAUUUAAAGUUUAUCCUUCUUAAAAUAUAGAAAAACAUUCUUAUUUGUAAUUUUUUAACCGUCAAAUUAUUUAAAUUUUGUAAAAUAUUAAUAAAAAAAUUUAAUAGAAUACACUGUUAAUAAAUCUUUACAAAUAUUAAAAUAAUUUGGCAGCUAAAAAUUCACGAGCACAUAAAAACACAACAGAAGCUCAACUCAAUUUUAUAUACGUUUUCUUUUUUUUAAUCUAAGCUACAUAUGUAAAACUUAAGAUGAUAAUAUAUAUAGAAGAAUAUUUUAGAGAGAGAGAGAGAGAGAGAGAGAGAGAGAGAGAAAUGUUAACAGUUAAUUUACACACCUUUCUCCGUUGAAACCGGAUUGAAUUCUGCGAAAUCGGAGCCGUCGGAUCCGCCGGAGAAGAGAGAAUCGGGCCAAAUGCCGCCGCCGCCGCCGCCGCGAGAGUUUUUGCGCGGCGGGAUGAGGUCGGAGAUGAUCGCGCCGCCACACAUUUUAAUUUUUUUUUUUUCAAAUGAUAAUUAAUCUCUAUCUCUAUGAAAAAAAAAAAAGGAACGAAUUUAACGAGCUUUUUUUAAAAAUACGAAGCGAGAGAAUCUAAUAGAAGAACGUAAAAUUUAUAGUGGUUGCUUCAGAAAAGCGCUUAUAUUAGAUGGAAGGGACGAGAGAGUUGGGACUUAUUUAUAGCGGGUUUUUUUUUGGAAACGCGCUUCGCUGCAAAACGGAAAACUUUACCUCGGAUUCCACCAUGUGAUUAUUAUUAUCCUUUUUUUUUUUUUCCGCUUGUUCUAGAAUCUGGAGGGGCAUUUCGGGAAAAUUGCCCUUAUAAAAUUUGAUUAAUUUCAUUUGUAUUCUUGCAAAUUUAGUAAAUGAUAAAUAUAUUUCAAUAAAGAUUAAUUUUUUAUAUAUUUUUUUAAAAGAAUUGUGAUAUUUUCAAAUGUAUUUCUGUUAUUAGAAUUCGUUAUAAAAUUUUAAUUAAUCAUAGGUUAAAUACUUAAUCCUGAUUAGUUUUUGAUAUUUUUAUUUUUUUAUAUUAUGCUGUUAUGACUUAUGAUCUUUAGAGAGAUAUAUUUAUGAUUACAAAAUUAAAAAUAUAAAUAAUUUUUUAACGAUAACAAAUUAGAAAGAUAUAUUUAAAAUAUUAAAAUUUUUGCAGAUACAAUAUAUAAAAGUUAAACUUUACAAAAAAUAUAGUUAUCAUUCACUAUAUUUAUAAAAAUCUGUACGAAAUUAACCCUAAAAUUUAAUUACUUUUUCUAGAACCGCUUCUAACAGCUAAACAUAAGCUGUAGCCAAAAUGACUUUUUUGAAAAAAAAAAAAAAAAAAAAAAAUGUUUGAACCAACCCCAGCGGGUUAAGCCACUCGUCUUUACCAACUCCAACCAAUCAUAAGAUGCCACGCGUGGACCAAAGCCCACCAACUAACGUGCACCCGUGGACCACCACCACAUUCCCGCGCACAUUGUUUUUAUUUUCCUUCUUUAAUAGCCGUUGGUUUGACUCCCCCGGUCCACAGAUUCAACGGCUUGGGAUUGAAGGAAGCGUGAAAGGAAACCGGUGUCGUCAACGACUUUCUUUAUAGCCUGUGGGGCCCGCGCGGGUGUACGACUGCGGCUUGUGCGGAUGCAUCGCCGACUUUGGGUCCUGCCGAGGAGUGUCGUCGCCGACUUCUUAAGACGAGGGAGUGCCUACUGAUAGGGACCUGAAAUUGAACUAAAAAUUUGGUGGGGGUUGGUUUUAAUAGUGAGACUGUUCCGUCUACCAUUUGUUAUGUAAAUUGUAUGAAUUUUGAAACCGUGCG
rnacentral:lncRNA from 1 species